rnacentral:rRNA from 1 species
UACGUAGGGUGCGAGCGUUGUCCGGAAUUAUUGGGCGUAAAGAGCUUGUAGGCGGCUUGUCGCGUCUGCCGUGAAAAUCCGGGGCUCAACCCCGGACUUGCGGUGGGUACGGGCAGGCUAGAGUGUGGUAGGGGAGACUGGAAUUCCUGGUGUAGCGGUGAAAUGCGCAGAUAUCAGGAGGAACACCGAUGGCGAAGGCAGGUCUCUGGGCCGCUACUGACGCUGAGAAGCGAAAGCGUGGGGAGCGAACAGG